UCCGACUUGAAGGUCGGCAGUCCCGUUAGAGUGCCCAACUUAAUGCUGGCAACUAAGGACAAGGGUUGCGCUCGUUGCGGGACUUAACCCAACAUCUCACGACACGAGCUGACGACAGCCAUGCAGCACCUGUCUCACGGUUCCCGAAGGCACCAAUCCAUCUCUGGAAAGUUCCGUGGAUGUCAAGACCAGGUAAGGUUCUUCGCGUUGCAUCGAAUUAAACCACAUACUCCACCGCUUGUGCGGCCCCCGUCAAUUCCUUUGAGUUUCAGUCUUGCGACCGUACUCCCCAGGCGGCGAACUUAACGCGUUAGCUUCGGCACAACUAGGGUUGAGUCCAGUUACACCAAGUAUACAUAGUUUACGGCAAGGACUAC
rnacentral:misc_RNA from 1 species